rnacentral:rRNA from 2 species
GGGUUGUGAGGUUAAGCGACUAAGCGUACACGGUGGAUGCCCUGGCAGUCAGAGGCGAUGAAGGGCGUGCUAAUCUGCGAUAAGCGCCGGUAAGGUGAUAUGAACCGUUAUAACCGGCGAUACCCGAAUGGGGAAACCCAGUGUGACUCGUCACACUAUCAUUAACUGAAUCCAUAGGUUAAUGAGGCGAACCGGGGGAACUGAAACAUCUAAGUACCCCGAGGAAAAGAAAUCAACCGAGAUUCCCCCAGUAGCGGCGAGCGAACGGGGAGGAGCCCAGAGCCUGAAUCAGCAUGUGUGUUAGUGGAAGCGUCUGGAAAGGCGCGCGAUACAGGGUGACAGCCCCGUACACAAAAGCGCAUGUGCUGUGAGCUCGAUGAGUAGGGCGGGACACGUGGUAUCCUGUCUGAAUAUGGGGGGACCAUCCUCCAAGGCUAAAUACUCCUGACUGACCGAUAGUGAACCAGUACCGUGAGGGAAAGGCGAAAAGAACCCCGGCGAGGGGAGUGAAAAAGAACCUGAAACCGUGUACGUACAAGCAGUGGGAGCCCCACCACUAAGCCAGUGGUGAACUCCACAUACGCAUCCUUUGCUGAGGAUACGGUUAACGGAGCGAAAGCGACGUUCAACCGCAAAAGAAGCAGAGGGGGCUUAGUGGUGGGGUGACUGCGUACCUUUUGUAUAAUGGGUCAGCGACUUAUAUUCUGUAGCAAGGUUAACCGUAUAGGGGAGCCGGAGGGAAACCGAGUCUUAAUUGGGCGUUAAGUUGCAGGGUAUAGACCCGAAACCCGGUGAUCUAGCCAUGGGCAGGUUGAAGGUUGGGUAACACUAACUGGAGGACCGAACCGACUAAUGUUGAAAAAUUAGCGGAUGACCUGUGGCUGGGGGUGAAAGGCCAAUCAAACCGGGAGAUAGCUGGUUCUCCCCGAAAGCUAUUUAGGUAGCGCCUCGUGAAUUCAUCUCCGGGGGUAGAGCACUGUUUCGGCUAGGGGGCCAUCCCGGCUUACCAACCCGAUGCAAACUGCGAAUACCGGAGAAUGUUAUCACGGGAGACACACGGCGGGUGCUAACGUCCGUCGUGAAGAGGGAAACAACCCAGACCGCCAGCUAAGGUCCCAAAGUCAUGGUUAAGUGGGAAACGAUGUGGGAAGGCCCAGACAGCCAGGAUGUUGGCUUAGAAGCAGCCAUCAUUUAAAGAAAGCGUAAUAGCUCACUGGUCGAGUCGGCCUGCGCGGAAGAUGUAACGGGGCUAAACCAUGCACCGAAGCUGCGGCAGCGACACUCAGGUGUUGUUGGGUAGGGGAGCGUUCUGUAAGCCUGUGAAGGUGGCCUGUGAGGGUUGCUGGAGGUAUCAGAAGUGCGAAUGCUGACAUAAGUAACGAUAAAGCGGGUGAAAAGCCCGCUCGCCGGAAGACCAAGGGUUCCUGUCCAACGUUAAUCGGGGCAGGGUGAGUCGACCCCUAAGGCGAGGCCGAAAGGCGUAGUCGAUGGGAAACGGGUUAAUAUUCCCGUACUUGGUGUUACUGCGAAGGGGGGACGGAGAAGGCUAUGUUGGCCGGGCGACGGUUGUCCCGGUUUAAGCGUGUAGGUGUGUGUUCCAGGUAAAUCCGGUUCACUUUAACACUGAGGCGUGACGACGAGGCACUACGGUGCUGAAGCAACAAAUGCCCUGCUUCCAGGAAAAGCCUCUAAGCAUCAGGUAACAUCAAAUCGUACCCCAAACCGACACAGGUGGUCAGGUAGAGAAUACCAAGGCGCUUGAGAGAACUCGGGUGAAGGAACUAGGCAAAAUGGUGCCGUAACUUCGGGAGAAGGCACGCUGACAUGUAGGUGAAGUGAUUUACUCAUGGAGCUGAAGUCAGUCGAAGAUACCAGCUGGCUGCAACUGUUUAUUAAAAACACAGCACUGUGCAAACACGAAAGUGGACGUAUACGGUGUGACGCCUGCCCGGUGCCGGAAGGUUAAUUGAUGGGGUCAGCGCAAGCGAAGCUCCUGAUCGAAGCCCCGGUAAACGGCGGCCGUAACUAUAACGGUCCUAAGGUAGCGAAAUUCCUUGUCGGGUAAGUUCCGACCUGCACGAAUGGCGUAAUGAUGGCCAGGCUGUCUCCACCCGAGACUCAGUGAAAUUGAACUCGCUGUGAAGAUGCAGUGUACCCGCGGCAAGACGGAAAGACCCCGUGAACCUUUACUAUAGCUUGACACUGAACAUUGAGCCUUGAUGUGUAGGAUAGGUGGGAGGCUUUGAAGUGUGGACGCCAGUCUGCAUGGAGCCGACCUUGAAAUACCACCCUUUAAUGUUUGAUGUUCUAACGUGGACCCGUGAUCCGGGUUGCGGACAGUGUCUGGUGGGUAGUUUGACUGGGGCGGUCUCCUCCUAAAGAGUAACGGAGGAGCACGAAGGUUGGCUAAUCCUGGUCGGACAUCAGGAGGUUAGUGCAAUGGCAUAAGCCAGCUUGACUGCGAGCGUGACGGCGCGAGCAGGUGCGAAAGCAGGUCAUAGUGAUCCGGUGGUUCUGAAUGGAAGGGCCAUCGCUCAACGGAUAAAAGGUACUCCGGGGAUAACAGGCUGAUACCGCCCAAGAGUUCAUAUCGACGGCGGUGUUUGGCACCUCGAUGUCGGCUCAUCACAUCCUGGGGCUGAAGUAGGUCCCAAGGGUAUGGCUGUUCGCCAUUUAAAGUGGUACGCGAGCUGGGUUUAGAACGUCGUGAGACAGUUCGGUCCCUAUCUGCCGUGGGCGCUGGAGAACUGAGGGGGGCUGCUCCUAGUACGAGAGGACCGGAGUGGACGCAUCACUGGUGUUCGGGUUGUCAUGCCAAUGGCACUGCCCGGUAGCUAAAUGCGGAAGAGAUAAGUGCUGAAAGCAUCUAAGCACGAAACUUGCCCCGAGAUGAGUUCUCCCUGAGACUUUAGGUCUCCUGAAGGAACGUUGAAGACGACGACGUUGAUAGGCCGGGUGUGUAAGCGCAGCGAUGCGUUGAGCUAACCGGUACUAAUGAACCGUGAGGCUUAACCUUACAACGCCGAAG